GGAGGGGAGGAGGCCAAGGAGGUAGAGGGGGAGGCCAAGGAGGUAGAGGGGGAGGCCAAGGAGGAACAGGAGGAGCCCCUCGUCCAACAGAUUCAUCAGCAAGUGCUAAAACUAUAAAUUAUUUUAAUGUUAAAUGUAGGAACCUUAAUUAUAGUUCUAAAUAAAAUCUAAAUAAAAA